GGGGGCGAAACGGUUUCGACGGGGAUGUCGAUGCUCCUGGGUUGCGUGCCGAGGCCCUGAACCUCGUAAAAACGGGAACUCAAUAGUCGCCAACGACUAUCCGUUAGCCCAGGCGGCUUAAGCCGCCUGCCUCCGACCGUCGAAUGCCCGUAUAGGCGCGAGGAGGUCACUCUCACGGGAUAGCCUGAAGCCUCCUCCCGGGGGGCCGAAGGGCGAGACUUCUCCCGGGAUGGUCCGAAGGGAACCCUGCCGGCCGGGGUCCCCGGUGACGAGAUCCAAAUGACCGGAAACGCACGUAGUAGCCCGGAGUAAAGAAUCUUCGGACGGGGGUUCGACUCCCCCCGCCUCCACCA
rnacentral:tmRNA from 1 species